AGAGUUUGAUUCUGGCUCAGAUUGAACGCUGGCGGCAUGCCUUACACAUGCAAGUCGAACGGUAACGGGCCUUCGGGUGCCGACGAGUGGCGAACGGGUGAGUAAUGUAUCGGAACGUACCUUUCAGUGGGGGAUAACGUAGCGAAAGUUACGCUAAUACCGCAUAUUCUGUGCGCAGGAAAGCAGGGGAUCGCAAGACCUUGCGCUGAUUGAGCGGCCGAUAUCAGAUUAGCUAGUUGGUGAGGUAAAGGCUCACCAAGGCGACGAUCUGUAGCGGGUCUGAGAGGAUGAUCCGCCACACUGGAACUGAGACACGGUCCAGACUCCUACGGGAGGCAGCAGUGGGGAAUUUUGGACAAUGGGGGCAACCCUGAUCCAGCCAUGCCGCGUGAGUGAAGAAGGCCUUCGGGUUGUAAAGCUCUUUCGGCCGGGAAGAAAUCGUAUCAGCUAAUACCUGGUGCGGAUGACGGUACCGGCAUAAGAAGCACCGGCUAACUACGUGUCAGCCGCCGCGGUAA
rnacentral:rRNA from 1 species